GACGAACGCUGGCGGCGUGCCUAAUACAUGCAAGUCGAGCGGAUGACGGAGGAGCUUGCUCCUCCUGAUUCAGCGGCGGACGGGUGAGUAACACGUGGGCAACCUGCCCUGUAGAUUGGGAUAACUCCGGGAAACCGGGGCUAAUACCGAAUAAUCCUUCGGACCUCAUGGUCCGAUGUUGAAAGACGGUUUCGGCUGUCACUACAGGAUGGGCCCGCGGCGCAUUAGCUAGUUGGUGAGGUAACGGCUCACCAAGGCCACGAUGCGUAGCCGACCUGAGAGGGUGAUCGGCCACACUGGGACUGAGACACGGCCCAGACUCCUACGGGAGGCAGCAGUAGGGAAUCUUCCACAAUGGACGAAAGUCUGAUGGAGCAACGCCGCGUGAGUGAAGAAGGUUCUCGGAUCGUAAAACUCUGUUGUGAGGGAAGAACAAGUACCGGAGUAACUGCCGGUGCCUUGACGGUACCUCAUUAGAAAGCCACGGCUAACUACGUGCCAGCCGCCGCGGUAAAAC
rnacentral:rRNA from 1 species